GAUGAAUAACGCAGCGAAAUGCGAUAAGUAAUGUGAAUUGCAGAAUUCAGUGAAUCAUCGAAUCUUUGAACGCAUCUUGCGCUCCUUGGUAUUCUGAGGAGCAUGCCUGUUUGAGUGUCAUUAAAUUCUCAACUACACUGACUUUGAAUUGGUGUGGCUUGGAUUUGGGGGGAAAAUUGUUGUGGGCUUUUUGUAUAGUCUGCUCCCCUGAAAUUGAUUAGCGGUACCUUUGUGGAACUGUCUACAGGUGUGAUAAUUAUCUACAUCUUAGACAUCUGCUGGAAUGCUGCUUUCUAAACCUUACUUGUAUUGACAAUCUUGACCUCAAAUCAGGUAGGACUACCCGCUGAACUUAAGCAUAUCAAUAAGCGGAGGA
rnacentral:misc_RNA from 1 species